rnacentral:rRNA from 1 species
UCGCUAGUAAUCGCGGAUCAGCAUGCCGCGGUGAAUACGUUCCCGGGCCUUGUACACACCGCCCGUCACACCAUGAGAGUCGGGAACACCCGAAGUCCGUAGCCUAACCGCAAGGGGGCGCGGCCGAAGGUGGGUUCGAUAAUUGGGGUGAAGUCGUAACAAGGUAGC